rnacentral:lncRNA from 1 species
CUCCAGCCUGGGCAACAGAGUGAGAACCUAUCUCUAAAAUAAUAGUAAGUAAAAAUAAUAAAUAAAUGAAGCUCUCUGCCCACGAUCCAAUCUCAGGGUAAGGAAUUGGCACAGCCUGGAUUUGAAGGUGGGUCUCUAUGAACCUGUGCUUCAAUCCAUCCCACUUCAUAAUCGCCUCUCCACAGGCCUCCAUCCAACCACAGCUGCACAGGCAUCAGAGCUUUGGUUCUACAACGUGAGCUGAUACCAAUAGCCCCUGGAGGGAUUGUUAAAACACUGAUUCCAGGGCCCUAGCCAUGGAGUGUCUGAUUCAGUAGGCCUUAGGUAAGGUCUGAAAAUCUGCAUUUCUAACAAGGUCCCAGGUGAUACUGACGCUACUGAUUCAGGGAUCACACUUUGAGAACCGCUGAAUAGACUGCCAUUCAAGCCAAGCCAAUCCUCUUGGCUCUACCUUCAAAAUAAACCCAGAAUCCAACCACUCCUUCCCACCUGCAUCACACUCCGGUCCCAGUACCUUCAUUUCUCACCUGGAUUAGUGCAGUCACUUCCUCACUGGCUCCGUACUUCCUGGACUCCCCACCUUGUUGCUUCUUCAAUAAAAGCCUCCCAAUGGCCUUCCACUCCU